rnacentral:rRNA from 1 species
GUGUCAGCAGCCGCGGUAAUACGGAGGGGGCUAGCGUUGUUCGGAAUUACUGGGCGUAAAGCGCACGUAGGCGGCUUAUCAAGUCAGGGGUGAAAUCCCGGAGCUUAACUCCGGAACUGCCUUUGAGACUGAUAGGCUUGAGUUCGGGAGAGGUAAGUGGAAUACCUAGUGUAGAGGUGAAAUUCGUAGAUAUUAGGUGGAACACCAGUGGCGAAGGCGACUUACUGGACCGAUACUGACGCUGAGGUGCGAAAGCGUGGGUAGCAAACAGGAUUAGAUACCCUGGUAGUCCACGCUGUAAACGAUGAGUGCUAGAUGUUGGGGGCCUUAGGCUUCCGGUGUCGCAGCUAACGCGUUAAGCACUCCGCCUGGGGAGUACGGUCGCAAGAUUAAAACUCAAAUGAAUUGACGGGG